rnacentral:rRNA from 1 species
AGAAUCAACGCUGGCGGCGUGCCUAACACAUGCAAGUCGAACGAGAAAGUGGAGCAAUCCAUGAGUAAAGUGGCGACCGGGUGAGUAACACGUGACUAACCUACCUUCGAGUGGGGGAUAACCUAGGGAAACCUGGGCUAAUACCGCAUAAUACCUACGGGUCAAAGGAGCAAUUCGCUUUAGGAGGGGGUCGCGGCAGAUUAGUUAGUUGGCGGGGUAAUGGCCCACCAAGACAGUGAUCUGUA